AGCGAACGCUGGCGGCAGGCUUAACACAUGCAAGUCGAACGGGCUUCUUCGGAAGUCAGUGGCAGACGGGUGAGUAACACGUGGGAACGUGCCCUUCGGUUCGGAAUAACUCAGGGAAACUUGAGCUAAUACCGGAUACGCCCUUUUGGGGAAAGGUUGACUGCCGAAGGAUCGGCCCGCGGCUGAUUAGCUUGUUGGUGGGGUAACGGCCUACCAAGGCGACGAUCAGUAGCUGGUCUGAGAGGAUGAUCAGCCACACUGGGACUGAGACACGGCCCAGACUCCUACGGGAGGCAGCAGUGGGGAAUAUUGGACAAUGGGCGCAAGCCUGAUCCAGCCAUGCCGCGUGAGUGAUGAAGGCCUUAGGGUUGUAAAGCUCUUUUGUCCGGGACGAUAAUGACGGUACCGGAAGAAUAAGCCCCGGCUAACUUCGUG
rnacentral:rRNA from 1 species